rnacentral:tRNA from 2 species
GCGUCCGUAGCUCAGUUGGUUAGAGCACCACCUUGACAUGGUGGGGGUCGGUGGUUCGAGUCCACUCGGACGCUCCA